rnacentral:rRNA from 1 species
AAUGAACGUUGGCGGCGUGGAUUAGGCAUGCAAGUCGAGCGCGAUAUGUAGCAAUACAUGGAGAGCGGCGAAAGGGAGAGUAAUACGUAGGUAUCUACCCUCGGGUCUGGGAUAGCAGCGGGAAACUGCUGGUAAUACCAGAUAACGUCUCCGGACCAAAGGUGUGAUUCCACCUGAGGAGGAGCCUACGGCCUAUUAGCUAGUUGGUAGGGUAACGGCCUACCAAGGCAAAGAUGGGUAUGGGGUGUGAGAGCAUGCCCCCACUCACUGGGACGGAGACACUGCCCAGACACCUACGGGUGGCUGCAGUCGAGAAUCUUCGGCAAUGGGCGAAAGCCUGACCGAGCGACGCCGCGUGCGGGAUGAAGGCCUUCGGGUUGUAAACCGCUGUCGUAGUGGAGGAAAUGUAGGAGAGUUAUCUCUUCUACUUGACUAAUACUAGGAGGAAGGACCGGCUAAUCUCGUGCCAGCCGCCGCUGUAAGAC